rnacentral:lncRNA from 1 species
GACAUCCCUGCUUGAUGAUGUUGGAGCGCCGCUAGCUCUGGGAAGAAGCCUUCUGCCACGCCGCUAUAAAAGCUGGUCGCUCACCACUCGAAUUCGUCAUACGUUGUAUCCAAUUCUGUUUAUUCUUCACGAUCUUGCUUGCUUAGAUUCACCCUUCCCAUGUCUAAUUUUUUAGUUGUUUUUCUCGGAUCCAAUGAUAGAUUAGAUGUUGUAAUAUCAAGUUGUGAGGAAAUAU